rnacentral:rRNA from 1 species
GACGAACGCUGGCGGCGUGCCUAAUAUAUGCAAGUAGAACGCUGAAGAGAGGAGCUUGCUCUUCUUGGAUGAGUUGCGAACGGGUGAGUAACGCGUAGGUAACCUGCCUUGUAGCGGGGGAUAACUAUUGGAAACGAUAGCUAAUACCGCAUAACAAUGGAUGACACAUGUCAUUUAUUUGAAAGGGGCAAUUGCUCCACUACAAGAUGGACCUGCGUUGUAUUAGCUAGUAGGUGAGGUAAUGGCUCACCUAGGCGACGAUACAUAGCCGACCUGAGAGGGUGAUCGGCCACACUGGGACUGAGACACGGCCCAGACUCCUACGGGAGGCAGCAGUAGGGAAUCUUCGGCAAUAGGGGCAACCCUGACCGAGCAACGCCGCGUGAGUGAAGAAGGUUGUCGGAUCGUAAAGCUCUGUUGUAAGUCAAGAACGGGUGUGAGAGUGGAAAGUUCACACUGUGACGGUAGCUUACCAGAAAGGGACGGCUAACUACGUG